UUGUUGAUGAUGGAUUUGGUGGUGGCGGCUAUCCCAGGUGGUGACAGAGACCUUCUUGACUUCCAUAAGCAAAGUAUAACACGGCAGCCUAAGGUUUCUUGCAGAGAAUCUGUUGACCACUCGAGAGCAUAGAAUAAAAGAGAAAGAACCCUAAAAAUCAAGAAGAAAUGGCAGCCUAACGUUCUUGUUGGGUUCCAUUUGGUCAGCUUCUUCCACAUCCCAAAAGAGACAUGAGAGAGGUCGUCUGUUUCUAUCCCCCUGACCUUUCAGCUCACACCGGCGCCACCUUUGACGUUAAAUUUAUAUGAACUAAACAAAAGAAGGUGAAGUUAAAUUGCAAACUCCAUGCAAAGAAUGAACCUCCAAAAAGCUUCAAAGCCUCGAAGCCUAAGCUCUCUCCAGCUAGAAUUCUCUCCCAGGAAACCUCCGAUGGCUCCGCGGCCACGCGUCCGGUGGACGAAGACCCGGCAUGCGAACCGCCGGCUCUGGCUUCUCCUCUGCGUCGCCUCGCCGCUGCUGGCUCUGGCCACCCUCCACGCCGCCGCCGCCGCCCUCCGCCGGGCCAACGCCUUCGGGCGGCGCUGCGCCCCGGACGCCGUGGAGUAUUCCGGCGAGGCGGCGGCGGGUUUUCGUCCGAGGAUAGCGAUGGUGACCUUCUCGGCGGAGGAGAUUGGCGGCGGCUCGCGGCGGUCGUUCCGGGGGGUGAUGGAGGCGGUGGGGGAGAAUAAGCGGGCGUACGCAGGGAGGAUGGGGUACGACUUCAUCGACGCAGGUGGUCUGGUCGAUCCCAGCCGUCCGCCCAGCUGGAGCAAGAUCCCUGCCGUCCGAUCGCAGCUCCCCAACUACGAUUGGGUCUUCUGGAAUGACGCCGACACGGUGAUAACGAAUCCGGAUAUAUCCUUGGAGAAUAUUUUGAAUGCAGCAAUUGGGCAUAGUGAUCUUCGAGCAUCUCCGGAUUUGGUAGUAACCGAGGAUUUCAAUGGAGUGAAUGCAGGUGUCUUCUUUUUCCGGCGAUCAGAGUGGAGCGAGAAGUUUCUGGACACGUGGUGGAAUCAAACAUCGUUCGUGCUUUUUGGGUCCACGAUAAGCGGCGACAACACUGCGCUGAAGCACCUCAUAAACGGCCUCCCUUCGGAAGAGCUACAAGACCACGUCCGUACUGUACCAAUGCAGUGCCUCUUCAACUCCUAUCCUUGGUUACCCAUUUGGAAGAAUGCCUACCGUCUGAUCUUCUCGCCUCUCAAGACCUGGGAAGGGGCGUACUCUGAUGGGGACUUUAUGGUGCACCUUGCGGGCUUAGAUGAGAAAAAGAAAUGGGCUGCCAGGAUACUAGGUGAAUUGAGAGCUUAGCUAGAAGGUGACUCAUAUGCACAGAAGCACAUAAAUUUGCAAGCCGAUGUGUUUCUCAGUUCAGCUCAUGUGUAUGGGAGUGCAGGAAGGGCGUAGUUCGUUACUGAUUGUUAUUCAAGCCAUAGAUUCGCCCGUUGUGGAACUGUUGUAAUGUUUCUUUGCUUUAUUAUCUACUUGCAAGUGCCUGCGAGGCUCGUAUAAUUGUAGCUUUCAUGGAGAACUUGACUUAUUGAAUUAUUGCCAGUAAAA